ACAUUUGGUGUAUGUGCUUGGCUG
rnacentral:piRNA from 4 species